GACGAACGCUGGCGGCGUGCUUAACACGUGCAAGUCGAACGGAAAGGCCCUGCUUUUGUGGGGUGCUCGAGUGGCGAACGGGUGAGUAACACGUGAGUAACCUGCCCUUGACUUUGGGAUAACUUCAGGAAACUGGGGCUAAUACCGGAUAUGAGCUCCUGCUGCAUGGUGGGGGUUGGAAAGUUUCGGCGGUUGGGGAUGGACUCGCGGCUUAUCAGCUUGUUGGUGGGGUAGUGGCUUACCAAGGCUUUGACGGGUAGCCGGCCUGAGAGGGUGACCGGCCACAUUGGGCCUGAGAGACGGCCCAGACUCCUACGGGAGGCAGCAGUGGGGAAUAUUGCACAAUGGGCGGAAGCCUGAUGCAGCAACGCCGCGUGCGGGAUGACGGCCUUCGGGUUGUAAACCGCUUUCGCCUGUGACGAAGCGUGAGUGACGGUAAUGGGUAAAGAAGCACCGGCUAACUACGUG
rnacentral:rRNA from 1 species